rnacentral:rRNA from 1 species
UACGGAGGGUGCGAGCGUUGUUCGGAAUUAUUGGGCGUAAAGCGCACGUAGGCGGCUCUUUAAGUCUUACUGUGAAAGCCCGCGGCUCAACCGCGGGACGGCAGGGGAUACUGGAGGGCUGGAGACAGGUAGAGGCGAGCGGAAUUCCGGGUGUAGCGGUGGAAUGCGUAGAGAUCCGGAAGAACACCAGAGGCGAAGGCGGCUCGCUGGACCUGGUCUGACGCUGAGGUGCGAAAGCGUGGGGAGCGAACAGG